rnacentral:lncRNA from 1 species
UCCAGCAGUCACCUAAUCACCCCCCACACUCUGUCCUUGUCUAUACAGCUUCCUAAUGAUGUGCCUCUAACUCUUUCUAGCUUUUAGAGAAUCUGAGAGGAGUUCUAAGUACAAUUCUAUCUGGAGAACCAUCAAACGGUCCAGAGGUUGACGGCACAAUCUCCGCAGAUCCAAAAUAAAUGGACAGAGUCCAGAGGCAUUAAAUUUAUGAUCAGUUGAUAUUCAGAAACCAAAGAAUGUGGAAAUGAGUAAAAUUGGGUGACCUUCAAAAAGGAAGGAAGGACUUCAUUUGGUUCCCCAGAAGGGCGCUGAUUGAAGGAGACGAUGUUUCCAGUUUUAUCAUGCCUGCUGACUCAAGCCUAGCCAAAUAUGAUGGCAUUGAAAAGACCGCAGCACAGCAAUAUUAUGAUAAAGAAGUCAGGUGACAUUUUCCAUCACUGUGUUGUGCAAUGCUGUAAGACUAACUAUUCCAAGAUUGCACAGAAAAUGAGAAAUUCCCAUGGAAACUCUGUCCUGGCAAUUCAAAAGGCCGUACAGCACUGGUGGGUUCCUUCUGUACUUCCUGGUAUGGUCUUUAUGGUUCAGUAGAAAGAACAUGGUCUCUGAAGUCAGAUUUGUGCCCAAACCCAACCCUACAUGGGCUAUGGAGAGCUUACUGAACCUCCACAAGCCUCUUUCCCUAUCUUAAAUGGAUCUCCUUACCCAAAUUUUCCAGUUCUCUGUGUUUUCUCAGACAAUUCUUAUAAGGAAUACCAAGAGUCAUAUAUG